ACCAUUCUUCAAGCUGUUUUGAGACCUUUUGAGAAGCUUUUUCUCUGAAGACAAUUUACCACAUCCUCUUCUUUCACUCCUUUCAAGAGCAUCACUUGGUCAAAACCCCUCAUUUGGCUGAUGAGAUCAUACUUACUGCUGCAAAUGUCUGCCUCCGCAGCUUUCUGUCUUCUCCAUUUCUGAAGGAAUACCUCUCCAGAAACACCACAGGGCUGACUGCUUCCUUUACAUCUUUUCAGCUAAAAAUAAAAAAAAAAAUUAAUAAUAAAAAUAAGAAGGGAGGGGG